AUAGUAAUCUCUAGUGAGUUGCCUGUAGCUGAGAGCUUUCCUGGCCCAGGGAUGUCAGCUCCAGGUUUAACAAUCUCCAGACCCCAAGUCUUUUCUUAAAGAAAUGGGUGUUUGAACUUAUGUCUGCCAAAGAGGAAAAACAGGAUGGCCAGGAAACUGGAGCUCGAGUCAUCGGAGACAUCCCAGACUACCGCCUGCUAGCCAUGCUGGCCCUCUGUCUUUUCCUUCCAAUGGGUUCCUUAGCCUUUCUCUUCUACUUCAAGACAGUAAUCUACAAGGAACAGAAUGAAUACGAGAAGGCACUACUCACUUCCAAACGCACCUUCCUUUUUGCCUUGGCCUCCAUCAUUGUAGGAUUCUUUGUUCUCUUCCUAUUUUACCUCCUCUUGUAUCGUCUGUCACAGUCCUGGAACAAACCAUCGGAAACAUACAACACCACAACCUAACCCCGCCUGCAACUUCAGACUCGCCAGACCAGCCGCUCUUUAAUGUCCGGCGUGCCACGCUUAUCGAGAUCAGAAAUAAAAAAAAAACGAUAACAGCAA